AUGUACCUGUACUUAUAAAAAUAAGGUUUAUAAUUUCGGAAAUCAAUUCAAAGAUGGCUGCAAUACUUGUACUUGUCAAUAUAAUGGUGCGGUUAGCUGCACUGAAUUACCUUGUUCCUGUAAUUACAACGGUAAAAUUUAUGAAAUUGGUUCUGUAUGGUAUAAUGAUUGCAACAAAUGUCAGUGCAACUCCGAUGGGAAAGUCGAUUGUGAGCAAAAACCAUGCAGUAAGUCCUGUAUACAUAAAGGAAAAACUUAUUCUGUCGGUGAAACAUUUAAAGAUGCCUGCAAUACUUGUAGAUGUGGACAGUUUGGUCAAAUAAGCUGUACUAAAAUGUACUGCCCCCCGACAACAUGCCAGUAUUAUGGAAAAUCUUACAAAGAUGGAGAAAUGUUCAUGAGUCAAGAUAAGUGCAAUGUUUGUCGAUGUUCGAUUGGGAAGGUCAAGUGUACCAAGUAUGACUGCUAUCGUCAGGUGAGUAAAGUGUUUUAUUAGUGUUUUACUGUCCCUAACGUAACUAAUUUAAUCCAUCCUUUACCCUUUGCAACCCCCAUUUUAUUUCUCAUAUUAAACAGAAAAUAAUCACCCAGCAAUUAGAUGAUAUUUAGCAUACAAACUUUUCUCUUCUAAGUUUUUUCAUAUAUAUGCAUACAUUCAAUAAUAUAUAUGGAAGAAAUGGUUGACUUACAAUUUUCAAUUUAAUGUUAUUGACACUUAUGUAAAAUUUGCACGACAUUGCUCUUAAUGUUAGAAAUAUUUAUGUUUAUUUAAGAAAUAUUUAUUUUUCAACUGUUUAAAUAGUGAUACAAACUCUUUGGAGAUACAUUUGUGAAGUAUUCUAUAUACAGGAUAUUUCAGGAUAUAGCUUAUGAGAGUGUGAAUUGGGCUUUAAAAUCUGGGGCUCUGAUGAAUUUUUAAUACUUUGUAUAAUCAUGUGAUAUUUAAUCUAUAAUGUAUAAUUGUUCAAAUUUAAAUUUUGUAUUGUACUUAGUCAUACUAAAUUUGAAAUACAAUGUGUAUAUCCAGUCCGAUAAAUAUAUUAAUUUCUUGCAAAUUUAUUUUAUUGCAGAAACAACAGUACGGAUGAAGAACUAUUAAUUUAUUUUGAUAAUUUCAAUAAUUGUGAUACCUCAAAUAUAAUUUUUUAAAAUAAAACAUAUAUCUACCAC
rnacentral:lncRNA from 1 species